AUUGAACGCUGGCGGCAGGCCUAACACAUGCAAGUCGAACGAGUGGCGGACGGGUGAGUAAUGUCUGGGAAACUGCCUGAUGGAGGGGGAUACCUACUGGAAACGGUAGCUAAUACCGCAUACCAUCAGAUGUGCCCAGAUGGGAGUAGCUAGGUGGUGGGGUAACGGCUCACCAAGGCGCCGAUCCCUAGCUGGUCUGAGAGGAUGACCGGCCAAACUGGAACGUAAACAACGUCCAGACUCCUACGGGCGGCAGCAGUGGGGAAUAUUGCACAAUGGGCGCAAUCCUGAUGCAGCCAUGCCGCGUGUAUGACGAAGUCCUUCGGUUUGUAAAGUACUUUCAGCGGGGAGGCGUUACCCGAAGAAGAAGCACCGGCUAACUCCGUGCCAGCAGCCGCGGUAAUUC
rnacentral:rRNA from 1 species